UGAUUGAUGAUGAUCGAUCCAUCCGACGAGCUCGCUAACCACUCGCUCACCGAACCAAAACAUGGCUCCUCCCUCUCCGCCUGCGAAAAUCCUAGAUCCCGUCGUCCUCCUCCACCACCAACGCCGCCCCUAGCUCGCCUGCACGACGCUCCAGCCCGCGCGCCGUCACCGUAAUGGGCGCGGAUGGCUUGCUCGCCGGAACGCCCGUGCCCCGUCGAGCUCGCCUGCCCGCUUCCGCGAGGGUGCUCCACGACGGACGCCGGCCGGCGAUGAUGAAUCCGGCCGGGAGAGCAAACGUCCUACACCGCCACCGCCGCAGCACCGCCCCGGCUCAGACUCCUCCCACGCCGGCUGCAUACUACUUCACCAUAUGAUGGAUUGCUGCACCUUACCUGCCAUACCACCGCGUCUACUUCCUCGCUGCUGCCUCCUUUUAGAAGCUCGUCAACAUCGGUUUCCAAAGGUCGAUUUUUUUUCCUUUGUUCAUGCUUGGAUAGAUUGCUGCCAUGCUAUCCAAUACUAUUCUGCAUGGUGCUCUGGGCCGUGGCAUUCGUGCCACUACUGUCUCUGCGUGUCUAUGCAAGCCAAGCAAUAUACUUUUUUCCAAUGUGUGAGGUGCAUAAGCAUGUGGCAUGGCUCGCCUUCCGCCCUCUCUCCUGUGCCAGGCUGACUUGCCGGUGGAUGUCCACGUCGCCCACAAGGCAGGCGUCCCUCCGACACGAUGCUCCUUCGCUCAGACGUCAUUCUCGUCUCCAAAAGUAAGCACCUUUCUGUCUAUUCCCCCUCCUAACCCUUCUUGGCUUGGAUAUGCGUUUAGCCUAGACAUUGGAUGACGUCGACAAAUUUGCUUUGUUUGCAUUGUAGAAAAUUCCGCUGCUUGGUCCUAGGCAGCGAUUUGGUUUAUUAUUGUGUGAGGUGUUUCUGGGGACAGGAACAUGCUGUGGUGUUUCCUUGCAUUUCUGCUUUCUGUACUACUUUUCUCGUUCAUUCUUAUUUAUACACACUCAAAUUGUUGGUUGUGCUUUAUGUUUAGGAUCUGGUGGUAGUAUAUGUGUUAAGAAUAAAAAUAAGAAACAAGGUGUUAAGCCUCCGUACAUGCACAUUUAUCUCCUUUUCUCCUACCCGUAGCCAGCUUGUAGAACCAUGUUUUGUUGUUGCUGCUAAUUUGGUUCACAAUCAAAUGGACAUACUUAUUACAAGUUGAAUUGUGUAUGCUCAAGUGCCCAGCACAGUAUUUUAGAUGGCUGCUAUCUCGAGUCUUUUCUACAUAUCAGCGUUUAGCUAUGCUGACCAUGAUUUGUUCUUGUCCGAGGAAAACACAAACUAAUCAACUCUGGUGGCCUUCUUCUUCGACUCCAUGUGUUUAGCAUGUAGAGAAAGAACAAUUAAGAAUGAUGAGCCAGAUCCUUAACUUUCUCUGUAUGUAUGUAAUCCACCUGGUCUGGUGCAGUGGUGUUGGGACACGGCCUGGCCUUGUCUGCCCAUGCGUCUAGCUCACGUCGGCUCUAGAGUCUAGCGCGACCUGGAAAGCUGUCGCUGCCAUGGCUUAUGUGUAAUAACUGCUGUUUCGGUCCUUGUAUUGUUUGGCCCAUGUAACAUCCUUCUUGUAAUGCUCCAAAAUUGGAGUUGUAAUAGUGUAGCAGUUGUUUACUUUUCCAUAUUUGUAGUCUUCGGUCAUGAGUGAAAAAGAUCUUUUGGUUACAUGUUAUAUGGUUGUGCUCUUGGCACUAUAUAUUGAAUA